rnacentral:rRNA from 1 species
GACGAACGCUGGCGGCGUGCUUAACACAUGCAAGUCGAACGAAGUGGCGAACGGGUGAGUAACGCGUAAUCCACCUGCCCUUCAGAGGGGGACAACAGUUGGAAACGAUUGCUAAUACCGCAUACUGAAGGAGGGGAUUGCGGCUGCUUAGGUAGUUGGAGGGGUAACGGCUCACCAAGGCGAUGAUCAGUAGCCGGGCUUGGGGGAAGGACGGGCACAUCUGGACUUGGACACGGCCCAGGCUCCCACGGGGAGCAACAGUGGGGAAGCUUCCGAAAUGGGCGGAAGUCUGACGGCACAACGGCGCGUGAGUGAUGACAGCCUUCGGGUUGUAAAGCUCUGUUAAUCUGGACGCGGUACCGGAAUAGAAAGCCACGGCUAACUACGUGCCAGCAGCCGCGGUAAUAC